rnacentral:lncRNA from 1 species
CCAAAAGUGUCGCCCCUCCUUUCUCUCCUCUCUCCUCCACCUCCCUUUGUCAGAACCCUGGCGGGAAUCUCGUUUUUGCCACCUUCCUCUCAUCUGCUCCAUCUGACCUAUCUUCUAAAACCUUAGCACCAAAUGGUGCAAGGUCUGAUUUUGUCACCCUAGCCUCACAAAUUUCCUUUUCCCUUCAUCUCUCUCAUUGUCCUCUCUUGAACCCCCCCAACACCAAUUGGCGUUACUUCAACAUCCUUCGUGUCAUCAUGACUUUGAGAAUCAGAUUCUCUGUCACAAAUCCCUUGAUUCAACUUCAUGUGAUUUGUACAUGAGUUUGAAUUGACUCAUGAGAUUCGAGAGACUUCAAAUCUGAAGGAGUUUUUAUCCGCUGGACAAAGAUUGAAACCAACGGACAAGCCUUCGACCCCGAAGUCCUAGCUUCAACAACUCUUUCCCUUUUCAUGAAUGCCUCCAAAAGGUAAUGAUUUUCACCUUUUCCAUUUGAUCUUUACCAUGACUUCCAUCAUGAUUUCAUCAUCAUUUUUCUUCAAAUUCUGAAAUUUAAGUUUCAAAUCUGAAAAGGUCUUCAAUUUGGGCUAUAAAUAGCCGACUUCAAUACUCUUUUCACAACAUGAGAUACACUACUCAUUAUGUGAAAAAAAACUCUCUGAUAAUUCGAGUUUUUAGUGCUUUACUCAUUUUGUUUUCUCCUCUGUUUGAUUCGAUUGAGCAAGGGCGGAUUUAGGGGGCGGAAGGGUGUUCAUCCGAACAUCCUUCGUCGGAAAAAGUUACACUGUUUAUAUAGGGGUAAUUUUAUUUUUUUACGUAUAGAUAUAAUAUGUUGAACGCCCUUGACACAAGUCAAAAGCUUGGCUUAGUGGUCAAGGGUGUUCAGAUUUUGUAAAAGGUCGCAGUUUCAAUUCCCGUCAACUGAAAUCUAAUUCUUUUUACCUCAUACUUUUUUUUAAAAUUUUAAACUAAACGAAACGACGUCGUUUUCGUUUCGUCUCUUUUAAUAUGUUUUUCCCCAAAAACGUAACUGACUUUGAGUUAAAAUCCCUAAAUCUCUCUCUCACUUCAUUGCCUCAAUGGCUCCCUCCACUCUCUCUCUCUCUCUCUCUCUCUCUCUCUCUCUCUCUCUCUCUCUCUGUGUGUGUGUGUCUCUCUCUCUCUUUCUCCAAUCUCUCUACCUUGCUGCUGUUGCUUGCUAUUCUUCUGUCAUGGCAUUGUCAUCCCAGGUAAAUUCCUUGUUCUUUCUAAUUUUUCAGAAAUUUAUUAGUAUUUUAUUGGUUAUUCUUAAUUUAGAUUAAUGACUCUUGUUUGUUGUUUUUUGAUUCUUGAAUCCGUAGACUUUAAUAAUGUAAAUUAUUGAGUUUUCUACUGCAUUUGCUUUGAUAAAUUUAUGAAAAAUAAUUGCUAAUUUUUUUUAGAAUUGAGAUACUUUUGACUCGAUCUUUGGUGAUAAUUGCUCAUAUUUUAUCCCCUUCCGCUGCAUAAGUUACAAUGAUUAAUAUUGUGUAGGAAGGAAAAAAAUUCCAAUCUCUUACUAUCCAAAUAAAAUAAAAUAUAAUAUAAAUCGCUAGUACGUGUGCGUUUUCAACAUAUCGUUAGCGUGAGUUUCGACGAUAGUUUAGUUCCUAUUUAGAUUUUUUUUAUGCAUCCGUUUGACAUUACAUUUGGAUUCAAUAAAUUUCGAUGAACCCUUUCGAUGAAAUUUUUACUGUUCAAUUCUUUAUAAUAUUGAACACCCUUGUUCGGAAUUCUGGAUCCGCCACUACGAUUGAGUUUGAGUUUGGGAGUUUAAUUUUGGAGACGAAUCUUUGACGACUCGACCCGACGCCCCAGUCUGCUGCCCCGAAAGAGAAUUCCAUUUUGAAACUCAACGACGUCGCUGCUGCAUAGAGACUGCACAUCCUCAUUCUUCGGUUUUCAUAUCGUUUAGACAUAAACAUAGAAGAGAAAAUCUUCUGGGAACUGAGCAGAGACUCUUGAAACGGUCCUUUCUGCUUCACUUAUUUGCUAUAUGACUUACUAUUCUAAUUUUUAUUAUGUGAUUGACUGUUAGGAUCUAAUUCUAUUAUAAAUCACAGUCAAGUCUUUUAAUUAUGUAUUUUGUUUUAUAGUUACAUAUAGUUGAAACUCUUUAGAAUCAUGAAUGUGCAUCAAAUACUAGUUGUUGAGCCUGCUAAAGUAUUACAAAAGAAAUAUUAGUUUUUAAAAUUUAUUUCUUCAUUCUAUCGAUUUUAGAUUAAAAACUCCACCUUGGUGAUUUUUUUAAAAGGCUAUAAAGCUAGUAGUAUUUCUAACACACAGAAGUUGUCAUCUAUGUUUUCCUUUCAGUGUUGCAAACAUUUAAGUCGAGUUUGUUAUCUGUACUUCCUUUAGAAACAUUUUCUGAACUAACUUGCCUAAUGUUUCAACAUGAUCCACUUGUAGGUAGAAAGUAGUAUUUUCAAUGAUACAAGCAUCAAUUUUCUUAUAAGACAAAGAGAAUUCUCUUCAACAUAAUUUUUGGUGUGAACCUGAUUUUCUUUUAAAAAGGUUCUCCAUAUUUAUACUUAGUCCUAAUUAACUUUAAUCCGGUCGGUUAAUAAUUUUCUUUAAAUUAAUUGAGCCUUUAUUUUACUCAAACCCGGAAUAGUUAAAUUAUUAUAUUCUAGUUCAACCCGUUUAAAAUGGGGUACAACAAUGUAUCUUUGGUCACAAGUCUUUGAUCAAUCAAGUAUCAAGAAUUGAUAUAUUCCAUACAUUUAAUGUUUCUUUACAUGUACCUAACACUCGAGCGAUAUUGUUGUUUGAAGUUAAAUCGCAACACACAACCGAGUCAACACAUGAAGAAUGAGCAGAGUCGUCACCCCAAGUGGGGCCAGGUACGUUAAGGGACAUGAUGACAACGACAGGCUAUAGUUGACUUCUUGUAUGAAUAAUACAUACAACUUUAUUAAAUAAAGCAAUUCGUUACUCCCUCACUUUCUAAUUUUUGUAUCACUUUUUUAAAUAUUUCAAAACUUGACAACUUUUACUAUUACCUUAAAGUUUCGUCAUGCUUUUACAAUUCAUACAAUUCAAACAUCAAAACACUUUUAGCUUCACACAACUUUAGAAUGAUCAAACCUUUUAUUUAAUAAUCUCUUACGCAUUUCCCCUCUCACGACCCCAAUUUUCCUCUGUAGGAUGUCGUGAUGACACCUAAUUUCUAAGAUUAGGUAAGCCUAACAAUUUGCGGAAUAACUGAAUAUAAAACUGAACUCAAAUCUCAACACAUGAAAUAUGAAUAGAACCUGCGAUUCAAAUAAUUACAACUCCCAAAACCCGGUAGAAAUAAGUCACAAAUUUAUAAAAGAAAAUAUCAAGUGUCUCUAUACAUCAGAGUCUAAAGAAAAUAAGGAAAAGCAAUAUAGUAAGGAUGGGAGGGCUCCGAGGACUGUGGACGCUGGCAGAUAUACCUUGAAGUCUCCACGUACGGUCCAGCUCACUGGUAUCUGACCUGGUAGGAAGAACCUGGAUCUGCACAACAAGAUAUGCGGAAGUGUAGUAUGAGUACACCACAACGGUACCUAGUAAGUGUCAAGCCUAACCUCAGUAGAGUAGUGACGAGGUCAGAUCAUGGCCCUACUGGAAUAAAAGGUAAUGAGGCAUAGAAUAUAAUAAUACAAUGGAGUGACUGAGAAAUGAACAACGAGAAAUUUCAGAAAGGUAACAACACAGCAAAUAGAGAAAAAAACAGUGACGCUCCUGAGGUAUCGUCUCGUAGUCCCAAAUGUAAAUACACAAUAUGGGGAUCUCUCGAGGUACCGCCUUGUAGUCCUAAAAGUAAAUAUGCAAUGGGGGAUCUCCCAAGGUACCGCCUCGUAGUCCCAAAAGUAAAUAUGCAACAGGGGAUCUCCCGAGGUACCGCCUCGUAGUCCCAAAAGUAAAUACACAACUCAUAACCUAUGGUACAACGAACUUACAUCAAGGAAUCAUACAGUUAAAGACUGAAUACAAGAUCACGGAAGCAAGUAAUUCAACUAAGCAUGUUGCACAAAUUUAAAGUAAAGGUUAAGACACGUAGACAUGCGAUACUAGGCUAAACAUGACAGUUACACAUGCUAAGGCAACUAAGUUAUGGAAAUUAAAAGAAGACUACUCAGCAAGAACUGAAAUUUCCACAAUUAGCCGGUGUACACACUCGUCACCUUGCGUACACGACACUCACAUAUCACAAAUUGUUACAACAGUACCAAAUCCUAAGAGGAUUUUUCCCACACAAGGUUAGAUAAGUCACUUACCUCGAAUCUCGCUCAAUCUAUCGAUAAGGAUACUUUCCCUUUGCUUUUCCACUCCAAAUGGCCCAAAUCUAGCCAAAAUCAAUUACAUACCAUGAAUACAACUAUAAGAAACUAAUUUAAAUAAUAAAUCUACGACUUUAGCAAAGAAUCAAAAAUCGCCUCAAAAGGUCGACCUGGGCCCACGCCGCAGAAUCAGGUAAAAGUCACAAAAUACGAACACCCAUACCAAAAUUACUCAAAUUUGACACAAAAUUCUCGAUCAGAACCCCAAAAUUCGGCCUAAGGAUUUGUUUUCCACCCUUUUCACAGCCCAAAUCCUUAAUUAAUGGAAGAAUAAAUGAUAUCUUAGUGGAAAUUAAUAAAAAAAUAAGUCAAGAAUCCUUACCCAAAUGUUUCCUCUGAAAACCCCUCAAAUUUUUGCCUCAAUCCGAGCCCUAUAUCACAAAUUAUGAAGAAAAGGGCAAACCCUCUAUUUAAUAUAAUCCGCCUAGGCUUUUCGCAUCUGCGGCCAAUUCACCGCACCUGCAGAACCGCUUUUGCGGUAAAAACCUUUGCUUUCUUUUGUGCUUUUAAGCUAUUUUAUGGUAUAUCGAGAUAGUUGGUUCGGGUCCGGAGUGGUUUCUUUAGACACUUAGUCUCUAAAGUAGAAGCUUAAGUUGGAAAAGUCAAUCGGAUAUUGACUUAUGUGUAAACGAUCUUGGAUUUGAAUUUUGACGGUUCUGUUAGCUCCGUUAGAUGAUUUUGGACUUAGGAGUGCGUCUGAAAGUUGGAGUAGGUUUGUGGUGUCAUUUGAGACGUGUAUGUAAAAUUUGAGGUCAUUCGGACGUGGUUUGGUAGGUUUCGGCGUCGUUUGCAGAAUUUGGGAAGUUAGAAGUUCUUAGACUUGAAUCCGAGGGUAAUUUGGUGUUUUGAUGUUAUUUUGAGUGAUUUGAUGAUUUUUCAAAGUUUGUAUGUUGAUAUAUGACUUGUUGGUAUGUUUGGUUGAGGUCUUGAGAGGCUCGGGGUGAGUCCGGGUGGUUAACGGAUUGUUUGAAGUUGGAAAAAUGCAGUUGAAGCUGCUACUACUGGUAUUUCCGCACCUGCGAAGGGGGAGCCGUAGGUGCGAGGUCGUUGGUGCACUUGGUGAGCCGCAGAUGCGGACAUAGAGGACCUGGUCUGGAACCGCAGGUGCGUAAGAUUGGUCGCAUCUGCGAGCCCGUAGAUGCGAGGCUGAGGCGUAGAUGCAGAAGUGAGGAGGACUGGCAGUGGCCGCAAGUGCGAGGUCUUUUGCGCACCUACGAGGUUGCAGAAGCAGAUAUGGAACAUAGGUGCGAGAUAUGUGCGCAAAAAUGGCUCCGAAGGUGCGCAUUAUUUUAGCCACAGGUGCGAAAACCUGGGCAGAACCUAUAGAUAGAAGACUUCGCGAAUUUUUGUUCAUUCCCACCAUUUUCAAGUAGGAACUUGGAGUUUUGGAGUGAUGUUUGAAGGGGAUUCAAGGAUAUUCACUGAGGUAAGUUGCUUGAGCUCUAUUAUCAUUAGCUAUGGUGUUUUUUCGUUAAUGUUCCACCUAAUUAGUAGAAUUUUUGAAGUGAAAUAAGGGGUUAGGGCUUGGGAUUUUUGAGGAUUUGAGGGACCAAAUGAUGUCGGAUUUUGAUAAAUUUAGUAUGGGUAGACUCGUGAGUGAAUAGGCUUUCGGGUUUUAUGACUUUUGUCAGAUUUCGAGAUGUGGGCCCGGGGGGGGUGAGUGAAUUUCGGAAUUUGGCCUAUAAAUUGGUAUUUUCCUUGUGGGAUUUGUUCCUUUAGCUCAUAUUGAUCGUAUUUUAUUGCUUGUGGCUAGAUUCAGGUCAUUUGGAGGACGGUUCAAGAGGAAACGACAUUUCAGAGUAGGAGUUCUACGCGGUUGAAGUAACUAACAGUUUUAAAUCUGGUCUUGAGGGUAUGAAACCCAGAGUUUGGUAUAAUGUGAUUGUUUGGAGGUGGCACUCAUGCUAGGUGACGGGCGUGUGGGUGUACUCCAUGAGGG